AACUUUCAACAAUGGAUCUCUUGGUUCUGGCAUCGAUGAAGAACGCAGCGAAAUGCGAUAAGUAGUGUGAAUUGCAGACUUUAGUGAAUCAUCGAAUUUUUGAACGCACAUUGCGCCCCUUGGUAUUCCAUUGGGCAUGCCUGUUCGAGCGUCAUUUACACCG
rnacentral:rRNA from 1 species